UUCUCCUGAAACUUUAUCUCUCUCUCUCCCUUAAAUCUUAUCUAGAUGCGCUUUCUCUUUCCAUCUUCUUCAUUUUUCCCCCGAACAGAAACUACCAAACCCUAACUCUGAAUCCCUUUUUUCAUUUCGUUCUACUAAUAUACUUCAUUUAAACUAAACUGUCCCAGAACCCAUGAUUCGAUCUGUAGAUUUGCAUAGUUAUCUUCGAUAUGUAAUAUUUUCUUAUUUCUUCAAUUUCUUCGAUCUGUAACAUUUCCUUAUCUUCAAUUUCUUCGAUAUGUAACAUUUCCUUAUCUUCAAUUUCUUUGAUAUGUAACAUUUCCUUAUCUUCAAUUUCUUCGAUUGGUUCCAGUCAACUGUUCUUCUAUUUUUUCUUAUAACCAACAAAGAAAUCGAACCUCCUUUCAUUUCAUCAUCAGUAGCAAAUCGAACAAGAUUUCAACAAAAAUCAGUGAUGAAGAAGUUUUCGUUUGAAGCAAUUCUCAAUUAGGAAUUAUCAGUGGAUUUCGUUGUGUUAUGGGUAAUUCUCAGUAUUAUAUCUACAAAUGGCAGGCAGAAGCAUAUCGGUAAUCAUAUGUGGGAUUUGGACAAGAAGAUUGUCGAGAAAUAAUGCUGAGAAAAACUAAAAUUAUGAAGAUAUUACAUGAAAUAGUGAAGGUGAAGUCAUGGUGAUGAUUUCCUGAUAAGUUAUGUUUACAGAACUAUGAACCUGUUCUGCAACUUUUUUAUAGUCUUCGAGAGUGAUUCUUCGAGAUUCUAAAUCUCACCAUGAAGAAUUGUGAUUUCUAGCAAGUUUAUGGAUAGAGUGGUGAAACUGAAUUGAGCUAAUUUGUUGGGUAAAUGAAGGUAUAAGUAGUGAACUCUUGUUGUAAGAUGCUAACUCGCAUGGAAGAUUUUCAAGCUUUUUGAUUUGUGAAGUUUGUAAAUGGAAUAUAGGUUGAGCAUUUUUUUUUUAGUUACUGUUGAUAUUCAGAUUUAGAACUCAAAAAGGUAUGAUACUAGAAGUUGUAAAAAAACACAUUUUAAU